GUAGGGUGCAAGCGUUAAUCGGGAUUACUGGGCGUAAAGCGUGCGCAGGCGGUGAUGUAAGACAGUUGUGAAAUCCCCGGGCUCAACCUGGGAACUGCAUCUGUGACUGCAUCGCUGGAGUACGGCAGAGGGGGAUGGAAUUCCGCGUGUAGCAGUGAAAUGCGUAGAUAUGCGGAGGAACACCGAUGGCGAAGGCAAUCCCCUGGGCCUGUACUGACGCUCAUGCACGAAAGCGUGGGGAGCAAACAGGAUUAGAUACCCUGGUAGUCCACGCCCUAAACGAUGUCAACUGGUUGUUGGGUCUUCACUGACUCAGUAACGAAGCUAACGCGUGAAGUUGACCGCCUGGGGAGUACGGCCGCAAGGUUGAAACUCAAA
rnacentral:rRNA from 1 species